AAGUAUUAAAAUUAUUAUUCAAAACUAUUUAUUAAUGGCGGCUUUAUAUCUUAAUUAGAGAAAUUUGUUUUCUAAUCGAUAAUCCACGCUAAAUUUCACUUUAUUUAAAAAAUUAGUAUACCGCCGUCACCAAUUUCUUCUUAUUAGAAUAAAUAAAACAGAACAUUAUCUAACAAAUCAGGUCAAGGUGCUAUUUAUAAUAAAGAAAAAAUGAAUUUCUAUUAUAACUAAUUAUGGAAAUUAAACUAAAAUUAACUUUGAAAUAGAAUUUAAAUUUAAAUAAAUCUUAAAAUUAUUUAUUAAAAACAGAACUUAAAGUGC
rnacentral:rRNA from 1 species